rnacentral:lncRNA from 1 species
AUGGAUGAGUCUAAAUUUUUUCCUAUCAUUUAUCUUCAGCAAAUACAUUUUAGGUAUUCAACAAGUAAUUUGACUAAUGGAUAUAUUCCAAUGUUUCUCUUUCAGUUUGUUCUCAGAAAAUUGGUUAGGAAUUCAUCCACUGCCCACAUACCCAUAAGAAACAAAGAAAAUAAAAGAUACAGAAGAAAAUUGAGCCUUUGCUUGAACCCUCAACUCCUGGCCUUGACCCCGUCUCAUCCUAAACUUCAGCAGAACAAAAGAUAAAAGUUCUACAUAUAGAUGAAGUACUUAUGGUAAGUAGUGUUAAUUCACUUAUUUUCACUAACAUUGUGCUGGAUGUUAGGAUGAAUAGGGUGUUAAGACGAAUAAGAUAGCAUUCCUGAUUGUAACUAACCGAUGAAUUAAUGGGAGAGAGAGACAAUAAUUGACCAUUACAAUAUGUGUGACAAAUGAGAAUUCCAUAUGUUCAUGAAGGCAUGAUAAGAUCUAUACUUUGUUACAAUGCUUGUUGGAGUAUGAGUUACAGCAACCUUCCUGCAAGCAGUUUGGUAAUAAGUACUCAAAAUUUUAAAAUGUUCUUGAAUUUGGAUGGUUUAUACAUGACACAUUAAGGAGCCCUUGUAUGAGGUCUAGUAGGGAGGACGGGAUCAGAGUUAUAUUUCAGAAAGUUUACUUUGGCUUAAUGUAGGGAAUGGAUUGGAGGGGGGGUGCAGGAUUGGAAGCAAGGAGAUUAAUUAAUAAGCUAUCAUAGCAACCCAACAUUUUUCUAAUCUAAAAAAAGAUGAGGACCUGGAAUAGGGCCAUGAUUAUGUCUGGCUUAUUUGAGCCUGAUAUGGUUCUAGUCUUACCUCAAAAGUGCCUCUUCUAGUCCUGAGAUGGAGUAUCACAAGAAAGAUUUACAAAGGUGUUUACUGAUGCAAUGCUUAUAAUAUUAAAAAAAUUGUACACACUAAAUAUCCAAGUUACCCUUAAACAAAUCGUAACAUGUCAAUUUGAU